AUGGAGAAAAAGGCCCCCAAACCUUCAUACAACUCUGCUUAUGGUUACGGGAAUUCAUCAACAGGGUCUAACUCGAGAUAUGCAACUGCACCCCCGGGUUUGAGCCCGUGGUAUGCCUCUUCUGCGGGCAACAAUGUGCAGCAACCAGAAGCACAAGCCACUCUGCAGAGGAAGUACUCCAGGAUUGGCGAUGACUACCGCACUGUGACUCAAGUGACUGAAGCUUUGGCACAAGCCGGUCUUGAAUCUUCAAACCUUAUUGUAGGCAUUGAUUUUACGAAAAGUAACCAAUGGACAGGAAAAAAUUCCUAUAAUCGGCGUUGUCUGCAUGAUAUUGGAAGAACUCCAAACCCGUAUGAGCAAGCCAUAUCUAUUAUUGGAAGGACACUCUCGGAUUUUGAUGAAGACAAUUUGAUUCCCUGCUUUGGAUUUGGUGAUGCGUCAACUCAUGACAAGGACGUAUUCAGCUUUUAUCCAGAGGACCGCCCUUGCACUGGAUUUGAAGAGGCAUUAGAAAGAUACAGACAAAUCGUUCCAGCUCUUCGAUUAUCUGGACCAACAUCUUUCGCUCCAAUAAUCGAGACAGCAAUUGGGAUCGUGGACAGCACUGGUGGCCAAUAUCAUGUUCUUCUGAUAAUUGCUGAUGGACAGGUUACUCGAAAUGUGGAUACACAGUCUGGGCAGUUAAGCCAACAGGAGUGGGACACCAUUAACGCUAUAGUGAAAGCUAGCCAGUUUCCCUUGUCUAUUGUUCUCGUUGGGGUCGGUGAUGGACCGUGGGAUAUGAUGCAUAAGUUUGACGACAACAUACCUGCUCGGUCAUUCGACAAUUUCCAGUUUGUGAAUUUCACUGAAAUCAUGUCAAAGAGCAUAGCAGCUGACAGAAAAGAGGCUGAAUUUGCGCUGUCAGCAUUGAUGGAAAUCCCUACGCAGUACAAAGCAACACUUGAUCUCCAACUCCUCGGUCGUCGCCAAGGACUACCUCCAAGAGUUCCUCUGCCUCCACCAACAAAGACUGCUUCUUCACGGUCUACUAGCUCUGACCAACAGGCUGGUGUUUAUUCACGGUCUAGUGUCUUUGGCCAACAAACAAGUGGGUUUCAGCAAUCAGACAGUUUCAAACAGCGACAGCAUGCAGCUACAAGGAGGCCUGACAGUCAUUCAUCAGAAAGUUCAGAAAGCACACUUUCAUGCGCCAUAUGUAUGGAUAAAUCAAAGGAUCUUGCAUUUGGAUGUGGACAUCAGACUUGCUAUGACUGCGGGGGAAAAUUGGUGCGCUGCCCUAUGUGCCAGAAGCACAUAACCACCAGGAUCAGGCUGUACUGA
rnacentral:rRNA from 1 species